CUGAUGCAGCAACGCCGCGUGAGGGAUGACGGCCUUCGGGUUGUAAACCUCUUUUAGUAGGGAAGAAGGGAGCUUGCUCUUGACGGUACCUGCAGAAAAAGCACCGGCUAACUACGUGCCAGCAGCCGCGGUAAUACGUAGGGUGCAAGCGUUGUCCGGAAUUAUUGGGCGUAAAGAGCUCGUAGGCGGUUUGUCGCGUCUGCUGUGAAAACCCGAGGCUCAACCUCGGGCCUGCAGUGGGUACGGGCAGACUAGAGUGCGGUAGGGGAGAAUGGAAUUCCUGGUGUAGCGGUGGAAUGCGCAGAUAUCAGGAGGAACACCGAUGGCGAAGGCAGUUCUCUGGGCCGUAACUGACGCUGAGGAGCGAAAGCGUGGGGAGCGAACAGGAUUAGAUACCCUGGUAGUCCACGCCGUAAACGUUGGGCGCUAGAUGUGGGGACCUUUCCACGGUUUCCGUGUCGCAGCUAACGCAUUAAGCGCCCCGCCUGGGGAGUACGGCCGCAAGGCUAAAACUCAAAGGAAUUGACGGGGGCCCGCACAAGCGGCGGAGCAUGCGGAUUAAUUCGAUGCAACGCGAAGAACCUUACCAAGGCUUGACAUAUACGAGAACGGGCCAGAAAUGGUCAACUCUUUGG
rnacentral:rRNA from 1 species